rnacentral:misc_RNA from 1 species
AAGUCGUAACAAGGUUUCCGUAGGUGAACCUGCGGAAGGAUCAUUAUUGAAUGAAACUCGGUGGGUUGUUGCUGGUCCCUCUUGGAGACAUGUGCACGCCCAUCUGUUUUCUUCUUUCAACCACCUGUGCACACUUUGCGAGCUUGAAUAAAUUUCGAGGAAACUCGGUUUUGGGGUGCUCUCUUGGACUGCUCCUGUAUUUCCGGCUCGCGUCUUUCAUAUACACCAUUGCAUGUCAUAGAAUGAAAAAUGAACUGGGCCCUUACAAGCCUAUAAACUCUAAACAACUUUCAACAACGGAUCUCUUGGCUCUC